rnacentral:rRNA from 1 species
AGCUCCAAUAGCGUAUAUUAAAGUUGUUGCAGUUAAAAAGCUCGUAGUUGGAUCUCGGAUCCCGGCUCGCGGUCCGCCUUUGGGCGGUCACUGCCCGUCCGGAUCUACCUCCCGGUGUUUCCCUUGGUGCUCUUCACUGAGUGUCUCGGGUGGCCGGAACGUUUACUUUGAAAAAAUUAGAGUGUUCAAAGCAGGCGCUUCGCCUGAAUAAUGGUGCAUGGAAUAAUGGAAUAGGACCUCGGUUCUAUUUUGUUGGUUUUCGGAACGUGAGGUAAUGAUUAAGAGGGACAGACGGGGGCAUUCGUAUUACGGUGUUAGAGGUGAAAUUCUUGGAUCGCCGUAAGACGAACUACUGCGAAAGCAUUUGCCAAGAAUGUUUUCAUUAAUCAAGAACGAAAGU